rnacentral:rRNA from 1 species
AUUGAACGCUGGCGGCAGGCCUAACACAUGCAAGUCGAACGAGUGGCGGACGGGAGAAUUAUGUCUGGGAAACCGCCUGAUGGAGGGGGAUAACCACUGGAAACGGUCGCUAACACCGCAAAACAUCAGAUGUGCACAGAUGGGUUUAGAUGGUUGGUGGGGUAAUGGCUCACCAAGGCGACGCGCCCGAGCUGGUCUGAGAGGAUGACCAGCCACACUGGGACUGAGACACGGUCCAGACUCCUACGGGAGGCAGCAGUGGGGAAUAUUGCACAAUGGGCGCGAGCCUGAUGCAGCCAUGCCGCGUGUAUGAAGAAGGCCUUCGGGUUGUAAAGUACUUUCAGUGGGGAGGCGUUACCCACAGAAGAAGCACCGGCUAACUCCGUGCCAGCAGCCGCGGUAAUUC